rnacentral:rRNA from 1 species
UGGGGAAUUUUGGACAAUGGGCGCAAGCCUGAUCCAGCCAUGCCGCGUGCGGGAAGAAGGCCUUCGGGUUGUAAACCGCUUUGUCAGGGAAGAAAUCUUCUGAGUUAAUACCUCGGGAGGAUGACGGUACCUGAAGAAUAAGCACCGGCUAACUACGUGCCAGCAGCCGCGGUAAUACGUAGGGUGCAAGCGUUAAUCGGAAUUACUGGGCGUAAAGCGUGCGCAGGCGGUUUUGUAAGACAGAGGUGAAAUCCCCGGGCUCAACCUGGGAACUGCCUUUGUGACUGCAAGGCUUGAGUGCGGCAGAGGGGGAUGGAAUUCCGCGUGUAGCAGUGAAAUGCGUAGAUAUGCGGAGGAACACCGAUGGCGAAGGCAAUCCCCUGGGCCUGCACUGACGCUCAUGCACGAAAGCGUGGGGAGCAAACAGGAUUAGAUAGCCCUGGUAGUCCACGCCCUAAAACGGAUGUCAACUGGUUGUUGGGAAGGUUCCUUCUCAGUAACGUAGCUAACGCGUGAAGUUGA